GAUAAAGAGAGAUCAGAAAUACAAGAGGCAGAGGAAGCAAGGUUGAAGAGGAUUAGGGAUCACAUCACAGCAUGCAAAUACUUAACUUACCUGUAGACGUUGAUCUGACUGAAAUGGAUUGGUUUGAUUUUUAAGUGUUGUAUCAAGUUGUAUUGCUACUCUGCCAAAAAAUUAAUCGCUGCCUAGCUAUAAUUAUUUUAAAGUAAAAUUGUUUUUCCAAAUACAUUUUAUUUAAUAAUUUGUGUGAUUAUAGUUUGUUCUUUAGUGACUCCUUUUUGUUGCAAGUCCCCACAAUUAAUUGUUGUAUAGCUUUAAAUUUUUAUUGUUAAAAUUAUUUUUCAUCAUUUCUGUUAUAAAUCUGCA